rnacentral:sRNA from 1 species
AAUGUAUUUUGAAAUAUUUAUUAGACCAUCUCUAUUUGGGAGUUUCUCAUGAGAGUUUCUCACUAUUAAAAAAUUAAAAAUAAUGAAAUGAAAGAGAGAGAGAAAGUGUAGAAAGUUUCUCACUUGAGAAACUCUUAUAUACUCUCUACAAUCCAUCAUGACAUAGCUCUUUUUACCAUUGGUUCAAUUU